rnacentral:tRNA from 1 species
AGUAUAGUGGUGAGUAUCCCCGCCUGUCACGCGGGAGACGGGGGUUCGAUUCCCCGACGGGGAG